rnacentral:rRNA from 1 species
GUAGGGAAUAUUGGGCAAUGGAGGCAACUCUGACCCAGCCAUGCCGCGUGCAGGAUGACGGCCCUCUGGGUUGUAAACUGCUUUUAUACGGGAAGAAAAAAUACUACGUGUAGUAUACUGACGGUACCGUAAGAAUAAGGAUCGGCUAACUCCGUGCCAGCAGCCGCGGUAAUACGGAGGAUCCAAGCGUUGUCCGGAUUUAUUGGGUUUAAAGGGUGCGUAGGCGGAUCUUUAAGUCAGUGGUGAACGCCUGCAGCUUAACUGUAGAAUUGCCAUUGAAACGGAAGAUCUUGAAUGUGGUUAAAGUAGGCGGAAUGUAUCAUGUAGCGGUGAAAUGCUUAGAUAUGAUACAGAACACCGAUAGCGAAGGCAGCUUGCUGAACCAUUAUUGACGCUGAGGCACGAAAGCGUGGGGAGCGAACAGGAUUAGAAACCCUAGUAGUCC